rnacentral:rRNA from 1 species
AGUGAACGCUGGCGGUAGGCCUAACACAUGCAAGUCGAACGGCAGCACAGUAAGAGCUUGCUCUUACGGGUGGCGAGUGGCGGAUGGGUGAGGAAUACAUCGGAAUCUACUUUUUCGUGGGGGAUAACGUAGGGAAACUUACGCUAAUACCGCAUACGACCUACGGGUGAAAGCAGGGGAUCUUCGGACCUUGCGCGAUUGAAUGAGCCGAUGUCGGAUUAGCUAGUUGGCGGGGUAAAGGCCCACCAAGGCGACGAUCCGUAGCUGGUCUGAGAGGAUGAUCAGCCACACUGGAACUGAGACACGGUCCAGACUCCUACGGGAGGCAGCAGUGGGGAAUAUUGGACAAUGGGCGCAAGCCUGAUCCAGCCAUACCGCGUGGGUGAAGAAGGCCUUCGGGUUAUAAAGCCCUUUUGUUGGGAAAGAAAAGCAGCAGGUUAAUACCCCGCUGUUCUGACGGUACCAAAAGAAUAAGCACCGGCUAACUUCGUG